GCCUGCCAAUUGAUAUUUUAUCGUAUGAUUUUCUAUGUUGUGAUGUUAUGCUAUUGUUUCAGAAAAAGGGAGAAGGUUUUGAUCCAUUAAAACGUUUAAUCCCGCUGCAAAUGUUUGCACCUGUCCUAAGUCAGGAAUCUGAUGUACAGUAGUUGUCGUUUGUUUAUGUAAUUUAUACGUGUUUCUCGUUUCUCGUUUUUUUAUUUAUAUAGAUUAGACCGUUGGUUUUCCCGUUUGAAUGGUUUUUCACUAGUAAUUUUGGGCCCUUUAUAGCUUGUUGUUCGGUGUGAGCCAAGGCUCCGUGUUGAAGGCCGUACACUGACCUAUAAUGGUUUACUUUUUUUUAAAUUGUUAUUUGGAUGGAUAGUUGUCUCAUUGGCACUCACAC
rnacentral:lncRNA from 1 species